rnacentral:rRNA from 1 species
UACAGAGGGUGCGAGCGUUAAUCGGAAUUACUGGGCGUAAAGCGCGCGUAGGCGGCUUUUCAAGUCGAUUGUGAAAUCCCCGGGCUUAACCUGGGAACUGCAGUCGAGACUGUCUAGCUAGAGUAUGGGAGAGGGAAGUGGAAUUUCAGGUGUAGCGGUGAAAUGCGUAGAUAUCGAGAGGAACACCUGCGGCGAAGGCGGGUUGCUGGGCUGACACUGACGCUGACAGCGCGAAAGCUAGGGGAGCGAACGGG